rnacentral:rRNA from 1 species
UCAGGGUCACCUCCCACCCGUGUUUAUUUUACCUUGUUGCUUCGGCGGGCCCGCCUUAACUGGCCGCCGGGGGGCUUACGCCCCCGGGCCCGCGCCCGCCGAAGACACCCUCGAACUCUGUCUGAAGAUUGAAGUCUGAGUGAAAAUAUAAAUUAUUUAAAACUUUCAACAACGGAUCUCUUGGUUCCGGCAUCGAUGAAGAACGCAGCGAAAUGCGAUACGUAAUGUGAAUUGCAAAUUCAGUGAAUCAUCGAGUCUUUGAACGCACAUUGCGCCCCCUGGUAUUCCGGGGGGCAUGCCUGUCCGAGCGUCAUUGCUGCCCUCAAGCCCGGCUUGUGUGUUGGGCCCCGUCCCCCGAUCUCCGGGGGACGGGCCCGAAAGGCAGCGGCGGCACCGCGUCCGGUCCUCGAGCGUAUGGGGCUUUGUCACCCGCUCUGUAGGCCCGGCCGGCGCUUGCCGAUCAACCCAAAUUUUUAUCCAGGUUGACCUCGGAUCAGGUAGGGAUACCCGCUGAACUUAAGCAUAUCAAUAAGCGAGGGAAAAAGAAACCCUUUGU